rnacentral:rRNA from 1 species
GAUGAACGCUAGCGGCAGGCCUAAUACAUGCAAGUCGAACGGUGUAGCAAUACACAGUGGCGCACGGGUGCGUAACACGUAUGCAACCUACCUUACAUUGGGGGAUAGCCUUUCGAAAGGGAGAUUAAUACCGCAUAAGACAGUAACUAGGCAUCUAGUAGCUGUUAAAGAUUUAUCGAUGUAAGCUGGGCAUGCGUCCAAUUAGUUAGUUGGCGAGGUAAUGGCUCACCAAGACGAUGAUUUGUGGGGGAACUGAGAGGUCAAUCCCCCACACUGGCACUGAGCUACGGGCCAGACUCCUACGGGAGGCAGCAGUAGGGAAUAUUGGGCAAUGGGCGCAAGCCUGACCCAGCCAUGCCGCGUGCAGGAAGAAGGCGUUCCGCGUUGCAAACUGCUUUUAUACAGGAAGAAACGACCCUUGCGAGGGGCAUAGACGGUACUGUAUGAAUAAGCACCGGCUAACUCCGUGCCAGCAGCCGCGGUAAGAC